CUUUCCGCACCACUUGAUACUACAAGGGGAAUGACUCGAGGCACCGUCGAUCGAGUGAUUAAAAUCUUCAUCACUGCUCUUAUAGCCAGCUAUUCCAUUAAGAGAAAUAUAAUCGUCCAGAACCAAAGGAAUAUUUUUCUGUUCCAACGGAACAUUGAAAGGGGACAGAAAGCGCGUUAGAAACUAACGUUCGACAAGAAUGGAUGGGAAAGGAGUUCCAUAAAUUGCGCUUCACCCCUCGUUGGCAAGAAUGACUGAUCGAUAAUAUAACCCUGCGAAAAAUUGCUAUGAAACGGUGAACGGUGUAACACAUUAUAACGGUGAAUUUAAGCUACGAGCGAAGAAUAGGGUCGCGACGCAUUGCUGGACCACCACGAGCAUGUUGGACCAUAUGCUGCUUCGGAUUAGGAACACAUACGCGCGACGCGUUGCUUCGCACGGUUUAAUUACUAUUAUAGUCGGGAUAAUAAUAUGAGUGCAGAAAUCUCAACGUCUGAAAUUGGACAAGGUGUCUAUUAGAUUCAUCCUUUUAAUCACGUCGGAAGUUUCAAGCGAAUAUUUAAGAAAUUGCAUUAUGAAAUAUAAGCCGAAAGUGGAAUGAACUUAUAAUGUUGGGAUUUAUAAGUGGCAAUUAUUAAAUAGUUUCCUAGUUACAGUUACAUCUCUCCCGUUCUAUUCGUCUCGUGCUGGCUCACAUCUCCGUGCAGUCAAUAUACUUUACUUAAUAGUGGAUUUCCUGUGAAAUACAUCUCUGAACGCGAUCAUUAGGCCAUCGCUUUCGCAAUGCAGACGAAUGAACUUCUAGAUAAUUAAUUGUACUAUCAUUGCGUUAAUUAAACCAGUUUUUCGGUUUAAUUAAUUAGGAUAAUCGGACUAGCUCGUUUCCAUCACCAAUUACGAUUUGUACUCUCUACGAUUUCGGUCUCCGGGUGAAGCGAGCUGAAACUUCUAGAUGCACGUCCAAUAGAUCAAGGAACGAACUUGAUACUGUUAUCCGUUAGCAGCUCCUCGUCGUGGACCUUGUUCAAUCGACAGAUUCGAUCGUAAACCUCAGUACAUGUAAAUAGCUUAAAAGAGCUCGGCCAAUAUCGGUCGAUGCAUGCAAGGGUUGCAAGAUAUAACAAUAGAGGCUUUGAAACGCUUAUGAAAAUUACAGUAUUAUCUAGAUCGAAACGCGGGGAGUCGAGUAACACUGGCGUACAGCAGAAUGAAUUGCCACAUGCAUGCUCGUAAUCAUUUUAGAAGGUGCGUUUGUUUUUUCAUGUGCAUUAGGAACUGAAAAAGUACAUAAGUGUACAUGUGGCCUUUAGACACGUUUGCCAAUUAAUUACAACUGAUGACUUUACACUAUUUGUAGAUUGUAAAAAUGACAAAGUCCUCUUUUCUAUUAGUACUUGCUGGUACUAACAGAAAACAACGAUCUUUUAGUCUAGUGUUUUAUAGUUUGAUUAGAAAAAAAGUUGUGCAUCAGUUGUCAUUAAUAUUGUAUCUUUCCUGAUCCAUAGUAGACGAGAGACGCUCGGCCCGAGGUAAGAUGAAACCGAGGGCAUUUUAAAAGGGGUGAUCGGGAUUAUUAGAUGCACGAUGUUGGCUAGAGAAAGGCACAAUUUGUGCCUCUCAGGAAUGUUAAUACGCGACGGUAUCACGCCGUCGACCUUAAUCUUAGAACGAUGUCACCGACGUAAGCGUUCGUAUGUGCAUCCGCUUAGCUUGUCCCCUCAAGACGUUUUAAAAAUGCAGAUCGUAGCGUUGCGCUAUGACCUAAGAACGCCGUUAGUCAGCUGAAUUUUAAGGAGGCGAACGUCUUAUCUCCGGUACGAGAUAUGUACCGCCUCAUUAGCGAUGCCGAAGUCUAACAUUCGUUAACGAUCAGAAUAUCAUUAAUUAUUAAAAGUUUGCCGACUGUCUUCACUUAGUUAACAUUGUACAAAGAAGUCAGGAGCAAACUGAAACCUGUGUAUAAAAAGACUUGAUUCAAAGUACACGUUACAUCGUUUGAUAAUCGAGAGAAACGCAAUUUCCUCGUAGAUUUAUAAAUUAUCCGAUUUGGUUAGCUAAUUAACUCUGCCAAAUGUAACGGUUUUUUAUUAAAUUAAUUGUCCAAUUAAAGAUUACCGAGGAACGAUAACAGAAUAUGUCCGUUUCAUUUUCCAUAAGAAAACAGACAAUGACUUUAUUAAGCUUUUCAGGCUUUGUCGUAUUCCAUUCAUACAUACGUAUGCACGGCUGUACGCAACCCGUCCGAUUUCGUUACGCAAAUCGUUGUCUCUGAAAAUAUUUUCUUCCGUACGUGAGAUUGUUUCCUUUGCAAGUAUACAUCUCCUUAACUCGCGCCCGUGUAUCCUAUUUUACGGUAAUCCUUUCGAAUUGUUUACUUUGGAAAGUUCUUGUUCCAUCCAUUCGCUUGAAUACGCGCACGCUUCUUAAGAUCACGGUGUCCCAUCGUUACAUGUACCAGUCUUUAUUUAACUAAAUUUUAAGGACUAGUAAGGAUAUCGUGAAAUAUAUGUAAUACUUGUAUUAAAAUCGUACAUUUCUUGCAAAUACUAUCGAGCUACCUUAAAAGUAUCAUUAUCGCGAUGACAUCCACUUAGCGUGCAGAGAUCCAGAUCUGAUAGAGUGGAACGUUAUAGAGUGACGCAGGUAUACAGUGAGACGAAUUGAACGUCGAUACGCGAACCGGUACAAAGUCUGUCGGUCGUUACGUCGGUUUUUGCGGCAACAGA